GAUGAACGCUGGCGGUAUGCUUAACACAUGCAAGUCGAACGGACUCUUCGGAGUUAGUGGCGGACGGGUGAGUAACGCGUGAGAAUCUGGCUUUGGGUUCGGGACAACCACUGUAAACGGUGGCUAAUAUCGGAUGUGUCGAGAGGUAAAAGAGAACUUGCCUGAAGAUGAGCUCGCGUCUGUUUAGCCAGUUUGUGAGGUAAUGGCGCACUAUGGCAGCGAUAAGUAGCUGGUCUGAGAGGAUGACCAGCCACACUGGGACUGAGACGCGGCCCAGACUACUACGGGAGGCAGGAGGGGAGCAUUUUCCACAAUGGGCGAGAGCCUGAAGGAGCAAUACCGCGUGAGAGAAGAAGGCUCUGGGGAUGAAAACCUCUUGUCUUAGGGAAGGACAAAAUGACGGUACCUAAGGAAUAAGCAUCGGCUAACUCCGUG
rnacentral:rRNA from 1 species